UAAUGGCAGGUCAGCAUACUGCCGUGAAUACGUUCCCGGGCCUUGUACACACCGCCCGUCACACCAUGAGAGUUGGGAAUACCCGAAGCCUGUGAGCUAACUUUUAGAGGCAGCAGUCGAAGGUAGAAUCAAUGAUUGGGGUGAAGUCGUAACAAGGUAUC
rnacentral:rRNA from 1 species